CCCGUAGGCGGUUCGUCGCGUCCGGUGUGAAAGUCCAUCGCUUAACGGUGGAUCCGCGCCGGGUACGGGCGGGCUUGAGUGCGGUAGGGGAGACUGGAAUUCCCGGUGUAACGGUGGAAUGUGUAGAUAUCGGGAAGAACACCAAUGGCGAAGGCAGGUCUCUGGGCCGUUACUGACGCUGAGGAGCGAAAGCGUGGGGAGCGAACA
rnacentral:rRNA from 1 species